ACACACACAGCCAGUAACACAAUACACCCAACAGUUCACUGACACCACAGUGAGUGCCAGCUGCAUGGUGAACACUGACAGGAUCUGAAAAAUGCUGUGUCACUCUUAAGUGGUGUGAGUGGUCACACAUGACACUGACAACACUGUCUGUAAAUGACUGUAUGGGAACAACAGAGCUGGACCUCAAGGCUAAGAGCGUAUAAAGGAAACAUUAACAACAAGUGGAGCAAUGCUGUGACUACUGUUGUAUCCACUGCGUAAAGCAGCCAGCUGGAUUGCUUCUUGCUGUGGCUCCUUGCAGAAGAACAGGACAGCAGCAGGAUGAGGAUACCAGUUUGAAGGGCAGAAGGUGUGGACAGUUUGCAGUAAUGAAACACCACCCAUUCAAAAGAUUCCCUAAUCCCUCCCAGCAGAGUGGAUUGAGGACAUGCCCUCAUUCUGUCUCCAGCUGAUCAUUUAUGUUUAUAUACAGCAUGCCUGUGUGUGUUGCUCUGCACUUGUUUCAAUGAUGACUUGUCUGAAAACUUUUUUUUUGGGAAGUUGGAUAAUGUCUGAUGUAUCUGACAACUGCAGCAACAGCUCAGAAAUGAACAUAUUGAAUGAAUAAAUCAAGUAAGUAUGUGAAAUAAAUGGUUUUCGAAAUUAA